GUGGGGAAUCUUGCGCAAUGGGCGAAAGCCUGACGCAGCCAUGCCGCGUGGAUGAUGAAGGUCUUAGGAUUGUAAAAUUCUUUCACCGGGGACGAUAAUGACGGUACCCGGAGAAGAAGCUCCGGCUAACUUCGAGCCAGCAGCCGCGGUAAUACGAAGGGGGCUAGCGUUGCUCGGAAUUACUGGGCGUAAAGGGCGCGUAGGCGGACAGCUUAGUCAGAGGUGAAAGCCCAGGGCUCAACCUUGGAAUUGCCUUUGAUACUGGCUGUCUUGAGUUUGUGAGAGGUGAGUGGAACUCCGAGUGUAGAGGUGAAAUUCGUAGAUAUUCGGAAGAACACCAGUGGCGAAGGCGACUCACUGGCCCAAUACUGACGCUGAGGCGCGAAAGCGUGGGGAGCAAACAGGAUUAGAAACCCUGGUAGUCC
rnacentral:rRNA from 1 species